rnacentral:rRNA from 1 species
GUCCACGCCGUAAACGAUGCGCACUAGGUAUGAGCGGUCUGACGCCGCUCGUGCCGAAACAAAGCGUUAAGUGCGCCGCCUGGGGAGUACGGCCGCAAGGCUAAAACUCAAAGGAAUUGACGGGGGCUCACACAAGCGGUGGAGCAUGUGGAUUAAUUCGAAGCAACGCGAAGAACCUUACCUGGGUUUGACAUGUACGGAUGCCGUCCAUGAAAGUGGAGCCGGUUGCCUUCGGGUGAAACGUACACAGGUGCUGCAUGGCUGUCGU